AGCGAAACUGCGAAUGGCUCAUUAAAUCAGUUAUCGUUUAUUUGAUAGUGCCUUCUUACUCGGAUAACCGUGGUAAUUCUAGAGCUAAUACGUGCUUCAAGUCCCGACUUCUGAAGGGACGUGUUUAUUAGAUUCAAAGCCAAUGCCUUUCGGGGCUCGCUGGUGAUUCAUGAUAACCUUUCGAAUCGCACGGCCUUGCGCCGGCGAUGGUUCAUUCAAAUUUCUGCCCUAUCAACUUUCGAUGGCUGGGUAGUGGCCAGCCAUGGUGACAACGGGUAACGGAGGGUUAGGGCUCGACCCCGGAGAAGAAGCCAGAGUAACGGCUUCUACAUCCAUGGAAGGCAGCAGGCGCGCAAAUUACCCAAUCCCGACACGGGGAGGUAGUGACAAUAAAUACUGAUACAGGGCUCUUUAGGGUCUUGUAAUUGGAAUGAGUACAAUUUAAAUCCCUUAACGAGGAACAAUUGGAGGGCAAGUCUGGUGCCAGCAGCCGCGGUAAUUCCAGCUCCAAUAGCGUAUAUUAAAGUUGUUGCGGUUAAAAAGCUCGUAGUUGAACCUCGGGCCUGGCCGGCCGGUCCGCCUCACCGCGUGCACUGGCUUGGCUGGGCCUUUCCCGCUGGGGAACCACAUGCCCUUCACUGGGUGUGUUGGGGAACCAGGACUUUUACUUUGAAUAAAUCAGAUCGCUCCAAGAAGGCCUUCGCUCGGAUGCAUUAGCAUGGAAUAAUGGAAUAGGACGUGCGGUUCUAUUUCGUUGGUUUCUAGGACCGCCGUAAUGAUUAAGAGGGACAGUCGGGGGCAUCAGUAUUCAGUUGUCAGAGGUGAAAUUCUUGGAUCUACUGAAGACUAACUACUGCGAAAGCAUUUGCCAAGGAUGUUUUCAUUAAUCAGGAACGAAAGUUGGGGGAUCGAAGACGAUCAGAUACCGUCGUAGUCUCAACCAUAAACCAUGCCGACUAGGGAUCGGACGAUGCUAUCCUAUGGCUCGUUCGGCACCUUACGCGAAAGCAAAGUUUU
rnacentral:rRNA from 1 species